rnacentral:rRNA from 1 species
GACAGAGGGUGCAAACGUUGCUCGGAAUUACUGGGCGUAAAGCGCGUGUAGGUGGCUUGUUAAGUCGGGUGUGAAAUCCCUCGGCUCAACCGAGGAAGUGCAUUCGAUACUGGCAAGCUCGAGUACCGGAGAGGGUCGUGGAAUUCCUGGUGUAGAGGUGAAAUUCGUAGAUAUCAGGAGGAACACCGGCGGCGAAGGCGGCGACCUGGACGAGUACUGACACUCAGACGCGAAAGCGUGGGGAGCAAACAGGAUUAGAUACCCUGGUAGUCCACGCUGUAAACGAUGGGUACUAGGUGUCGCGGGUAUUGACCCCUGCGGUGCCGAAGCUAACGCAUUAAGUACCCCGCCUGGGGACUACGGCCGCAAGGCUAAA